CCUGUUUCACUCCCGGAGUUGGAUUGUGCGUUAUUUGUGCACCAUGUGCAGCUAGCGGACGCAUAGUAGCCGCUGCCUCUGUCGUCCUGUGUUUCCGUGCCCUCGGAGGCUUGGAAUUGGCCUGGGUGGGUUGACGCCGCUGCUGUUUUGCUGCUAGGUUUUGCUGCUAGCUCUUGCUUAUAGCUAUUGUACCGUUUGCUGUUCGUCUGGCUUCACGUCUCGUCAUCCUUGCCAGCAGCUGCUGUCCGCAAGAGCUGCUGCUGCGUGUGUGUGUGUGUGUUUUCGUUUUGGUUCUGGUUGUUUUGUGUUCAAUGUGCUGUUGGCUGUGCUAGGUGCCCAAGGCUAGUAGUCCAUCCUAACCUCCCCUGGUGGUGGGUGGUAUCUCCUUUGUGUGUGUGCAUUGAGAUAAUUUUUGAUGUAUGUAUUUACCUUUCACUAGGUUUGUGUGUGUGUGUGCAUUUGGUGUGAGCAGUGCACGUUUGCUGUGACCUCCUGGAGGUAAUACCCCGCUACUUAAAUACCCCUGCCUGACUGGUAAGCCUCAGUCCAGUUCUAUGCUGUGUUCAUUUAUCUGUUGUGUAGGUGUUGUCCAUUGUCUGUCCUACUGUUACCAUUUUGUGUGUUUGUUGUUAUUAAAUAAAACAUAUUUGUUAUUUAUGGAAACACGUCUCCAGCUUCCUCAGUUUACGAACCUGUGUGCCCCUAGUGGGCAAGUUUGAUUCCACCUCAACUAUUUCCCUGGGCGCAACUCGUGGGCGUAGUCGUGCUCUGUAUAGUCCUAGCUCCACUCUCCAUAUUGUUAUGCCACACUUGUGUGUUUAUUUUGUCUCCUGUAAGCUUUUGUAAAUGUUUAUCUAGAGCCCUUUGUUUUUUUUCCUAUGUUCCAUGUGCUAGACAAAUACAUUUGCCUUGUCUGGUCUCAAUAGAGAUACAGCAGGCAAUCCACAGGAGAGAGGCUGGACACAUAGAUGGAGAGGGGGGAGAGAGAGAGUCAGUCCCAUCUGUUUUGAGAGGAGGAAAACGGCUCACUGUUCAUCUAGAGAAGAGGUUGGUUACAGAAGACACGUCUACCAUCUGGCUACCAUGGGUGUUCCUCUUUGGCUGAUUCUGUUUCUACCUACCCUUCAAGAUGCGUCACCUCAACAGAGUGAUCCUUGUCAUAUCUACACUGUGCUGAACGACGACUGGAGGGUCACCACCAACCUGGACACGUCAGUGGUAAGGUGCGACUAUCAUCUCCAGUGGCAGGGCUGGUACCGCAUGUUCCACCAGGGGGCGAGCGUUCGCAUGCCCGAGAGCUGUGUACCUACGUUUCGGUGUGGCACGAAGGGAACCCUGUGGCUGAACGGCCCGCACCCUCGCCUGGAAGAUGGCAUCGUGACCAGAAAGGUGUGCGGACACUGGGAUGGCAACUGCUGCUAUAUCAAAGCACCAUCCAUCCAGGUGAAAGCGUG